rnacentral:lncRNA from 1 species
AAAACUCAGCUUUGCCCCUGCACGGAGUUUCCCUUCGCGGGGCCCGCUGGGGAAGCAUCCGCGGCUUGUGGUGGCUGUGGUUUUGUGCCCAGGACUCACACGUAAAAGGAGCUCAUUCGGAGGCAGGGGCACGCGCUUGUCCCCAGAACUCAAACCCCAGAGUCCCUCCGGCAGAUGAGAGUGGAGGUUGUAAAUCACCCUCCAUGCAAUGGUUCAUCAUAAAGGAUAUGGAGCAAAAUUAGAGGAGGCACGAGAAGGAAAGCCGGUGAUGAACAAGGAUUUGCCUCAACUACAGAGACAGCAUGGAACACGCCCUCCUAGGCUGCCCACAUCCUCAUCUGCAUGGGGGCACAGAAGCCUGGCCAUUCAUCCCAUGGGAGACUCAGGACAUGCUCCCAGCAACCUGAUGGGCUGCCCAAGGCUUGGCUGAUCCUGCAUCCCUGCAUCACAUCUCAGCUUCUCCCUCUGCCCAAAUCUACUUCCUCCCCAUUCCUUUCACAGGCAUUGAUUCCCUGAUAAACACCUUGCACCCCAUAUUCCAUCUCAGAGUCUCCUUGCAGAGAACCCAACCUGUGGCAGAGCUGGUCUCAGGACUCGGAGCGAGGGAGCAGGGAAAGAGGACAGGAAAGCAGGGAGAGUCAAUUUAAGGGUAUGUUGUCUGAGACAAAGAUUCUGCUAGGACCUCUGAGAUGGGUACAAGAUGCCUGGAGCCAUUCACUGGGCAGUAUCUGUCCAUCAGCUCCCAGGCCCCACAGAACCGGAGCUGCCUGUGAGGGCUUUCACUGCCCUGCAUUUCUGGGCUUCACAUAUGCACUGGCUGAGAGGGCUCCCUGUCUUCAAGGACGAUCCUGAGCAGAAAGUGGGUGCACUUGAGGUGGCAUGCUGUUGCGAGAGUCUGAGCUUUAUGAGAAGCAGACCCAGGGGGCAUGGUGUGGGGCAUCCCAAAGGACCUGCCAUACAUUAGGUGCCUUGGUCUUGGGGAGGAGCCCUCGGGAGUUCUGAGGGUGGGAGAAGAGGUAGGUGGGGUUAAUCCUUUCCCAUUCCCUCCCUGCCUCAGCACCAUGGCUCAGGCAGUAGCGCUGCCAGCUCCUCCUGGGAUCAGAGUUAUGGCCCUGCUCCCCUUGUCCCUUCAGGCUGAGGAACAUAAGGGCUUCCCAUGGUUGCUGGUGUCUGAGUGCCUCAACCUCCCUUGCUGGUUCCUUUCCCCUGCCCACACCUUUGUCAAUAGUUCCCCCCACUGAAGUCUCUUUGGUUGAGCAGUUGGUGGGGAUGCUGACUGAUAAAGUGGUCUAGGCCACUGCUCACUGCUUAAAGCCUUGCUUCAGAGAGACCUUCCAGGGCCCUGCAGCUCCCCCUUCUCCAACCCCUCCAACCCCUCCAACCUUUCUCUCUCCCAGCUGGUCUGGGUUCCCUACGGCAUCUACUUGCUUUUGAAUCUAUUUCUUAUAGAUACAUGUGUGUCCUCCUCUUUCACAGCCUUACCUUUUCAUAUGGAGGAAGAAAAAACCCAUUUCUAUAAAGCUAUUAAAUGUUUUCCUUUCACAAACACCAGUUUUGUACA